rnacentral:rRNA from 1 species
UCGAGCGCGAACCGUAGCAAUACGGGGAGAGCGGCAAACGGGGUAGGAAGGAUUGGUGACGUACCCUCCGGACGGGGAUAGCCAGGGGAAACUCUGGGUAAUACCCGAUGAUCUCCCGGGUUUGAAUACCUGGGCGCAAAGGUGUGAUUCCACCGGGGGAGCGGCCAAUCUGACAUCAGCUAGUUGGUAAGGUAACGGCUUACCAAGGCUUUGACGUCUAGGGGGUGUGAGAGCAUGGCCCCCACCACUGGGACUGAGAUACUGCCCAGACACCUACGGGUGGCUGCAGUCGAGAAUCUUCGGCAAUGGGCGAAAGCCUGACCGAGCGACGCCGCGUGCGGGAUGAAGGUCUUCGGAUUGUAAACCGCUGUCAGAGGGGAUGAAGUUAUGGUGGGUUCUCCCUCCAUAUUGACAGAGCCUCAGAGGAAGCACGGGCUAAGUAUGUGCCAGCAGCCGCGGUAAUACAUACUGUGCGAACGUUAUUCGGAUUCACUGGGCUUAAAGGGUGCGUAGGCGGCUUGUUAAGUAGGGUGUGAAAGCCCCCAGCUCAACUGGGGAACUGCACUCUAUACUGGCGAGCUAGAGUGAGAUAGGGGUGUGUGGAACUGCCAGUGGAGCGGUGAAAUGUGUUGAUAUUGGCAGGAACGCCGGUGGCGAAAGCGACACACUGGGUCUCAACUGACGCUGAGGCACGAAAGCCAGGGGAGCGAACGGGAUUAGAUACCCCGGUAGUCCUGGCCGUAAACGCUGAGUACUCGUCGGGAGCGACUGCGGUCGCU